rnacentral:rRNA from 1 species
AAUCACCUUUUGAGUUUGUUCUUGUGGGUUUCGAGGAAGUUUAAAAGCCUUCGGAUUUGCUAGGAUUGGGCUCUUUUGGUGUACUUUCUCGUACGGUUAGUCAACAUCGGUUUUGAAUGUCAUAAAAUGACUGGAGGAAUGUGGCUUCGAUCUCGUAUCGAAGUGUUAUAACCUUUGGUAGAUGUGAUGUUCGAGACCGAGGAUUGCAACGGAUACCUUCUGGGCUAUUCCGUCUGAUCUCUGAUACGUUGCCUUGAUGUCGAAAGCGUGCUUAUGAUGUUAGGGUAUUACGGUCAAAAGGUUAGAACGGAUUAAAUUCGUUAAGGAUGUUGACGUA